rnacentral:rRNA from 1 species
CACACUAUCAUUAACUGAAUCCAUAGGUUAAUGAGGCGAACCGGGGGAACUGAAACAUCUAAGUACCCCGAGGAAAAGAAAUCAACCGAGAUUCCCCCAGUAGCGGCGAGCGAACGGGGAGCAGCCCAGAGCCUGAAUCAGUGUGUGUGUUAGUGGAAGCGUCUGGAAAGGCGCGCGAUACAGGGUGACAGCCCCGUACACAAAAAUGCACAUGCUGUGAGCUCGAUGAGUAGGGCGGGACACGUGGUAUCCUGUCUGAAUAUGGGGGGACCAUCCUCCAAGGCUAAAUACUCCUGACUGACCGAUAGUGAACCAGUACCGUGAGGGAAAGGCGAAAAGAACCCCGGCGAGGGGAGUGAAAAAGAACCUGAAACCGUGUACGUACAAGCAGUGGGAGCACGCUUAGGCGUGUGACUGCGUACCUUUUGUAUAAUGGGUCAGCGACUUAUAUUCUGUAGCAAGGUUAACCGAAUAGGGGAGCCGAAGGGAAACCGAGUCUUAACUGGGCGUUAAGUUGCAGGGUAUAGACCCGAAACCCGGUGAUCUAGCCAUGGGCAGGUUGAAGGUUGGGUAACACUAACUGGAGGACCGAACCGACUAAUGUUGAAAAAUUAGCGGAUGACUUGUGGCUGGGGGUGAAAGGCCAAUCAAACCGGGAGAUAGCUGGUUCUCCCCGAAAGCUAUUUAGGUAGCGCCUCGUGAAUUCAUCUCCGGGGGUAGAGCACUGUUUCGGCAAGGGGGUCAUCCCGACUUACCAACCCGAUGCAAACUGCGAAUACCGGAGAAUGUUAUCACGGGAGACACACGGCGGGUGCUAACGUCCGUCGUGAAGAGGGAAACAACCCAGACCGCCAGCUAAGGUCCCAAAGUCAUGGUUAAGUGGGAAACGAUGUGGGAAGGCCCAGACAGCCAGGAUGUUGGCUUAGAAGCAGCCAUCAUUUAAAGAAAGCGUAAUAGCUCACUGGUCGAGUCGGCCUGCGCGGAAGAUGUAACGGGGCUAAACCAUGCACCGAAGCUGCGGCAGCGACGCUGAUGCGUUGUUGGGUAGGGGAGCGUUCUGUAAGCCUGCGAAGGUGUGCUGUGAGGCAUGCUGGAGGUAUCAGAAGUGCGAAUGCUGACAUAAGUAACGAUAAAGCGGGUGAAAAGCCCGCUCGCCGGAAGACCAAGGGUUCCUGUCCAACGUUAAUCGGGGCAGGGUGAGUCGACCCCUAAGGCGAGGCCGAAAGGCGUAGUCGAUGGGAAACAGGUUAAUAUUCCUGUACUUGGUGUUACUGCGAAGGGGGGACGGAGAAGGCUAUGUUGGCCGGGCGACGGUUGUCCCGGUUUAAGCGUGUAGGCUGGUUUUCCAGGCAAAUCCGGAAAAUCAAGGCUGAGGCGUGAUGACGAGGCACUACGGUGCUGAAGCAACAAAUGCCCUGCUUCCAGGAAAAGCCUCUAAGCAUCAGGUAACAUCAAAUCGUACCCCAAACCGACACAGGUGGUCAGGUAGAGAAUACCAAGGCGCUUGAGAGAACUCGGGUGAAGGAACUAGGCAAAAUGGUGCCGUAACUUCGGGAGAAGGCACGCUGAUAUGUAGGUGAAGUCCCUCGCGGAUGGAGCUGAAAUCAGUCGAAGAUACCAGCUGGCUGCAACUGUUUAUUAAAAACACAGCACUGUGCAAACACGAAAGUGGACGUAUACGGUGUGACGCCUGCCCGGUGCCGGAAGGUUAAUUGAUGGGGUCAGCGCAAGCGAAGCUCUUGAUCGAAGCCCCGGUAAACGGCGGCCGUAACUAUAACGGUCCUAAGGUAGCGAAAUUCCUUGUCGGGUAAGUUCCGACCUGCACGAAUGGCGUAAUGAUGGCCAGGCUGUCUCCACCCGAGACUCAGUGAAAUUGAACUCGCUGUGAAGAUGCAGUGUACCCGCGGCAAGACGGAAAGACCCCGUGAACCUUUACUAUAGCUUGACACUGAACAUUGAGCCUUGAUGUGUAGGAUAGGUGGGAGGCUUUGAAGUGUGGACGCCAGUCUGCAUGGAGCCGACCUUGAAAUACCACCCUUUAAUGUUUGAUGUUCUAACGUGGACCCGUAAUCCGGGUUGCGGACAGUGUCUGGUGGGUAGUUUGACUGGGGCGGUCUCCUCCUAAAGAGUAACGGAGGAGCACGAAGGUUGGCUAAUCCUGGUCGGACAUCAGGAGGUUAGUGCAAUGGCAUAAGCCAGCUUGACUGCGAGCGUGACGGCGCGAGCAGGUGCGAAAGCAGGUCAUAGUGAUCCGGUGGUUCUGAAUGGAAGGGCCAUCGCUCAACGGAUAAAAGGUACUCCGGGGAUAACAGGCUGAUACCGCCCAAGAGUUCAUAUCGACGGCGGUGUUUGGCACCUCGAUGUCGGCUCAUCACAUCCUGGGGCUGAAGUAGGUCCCAAGGGUAUGGCUGUUCGCCAUUUAAAGUGGUACGCGAGCUGGGUUUAGAACGUCGUGAGACAGUUCGGUCCCUAUCUGCCGUGGGCGCUGGAGAAUUGAGGGGGGCUGCUCCUAGUACGAGAGGACCGGAGUGGACGCAUCACUGGUGUUCGGGUUGUCAUGCCAAUGGCACUGCCCGGUAGCUAAAUGCGGAAGAGAUAAGUGCUGAAAGCAUCUAAGCACGAAACUUGCCCCGAGAUGAGUUCUCCCUGACUCCUUGAGAGUCCUGAAGGAACGUUGAAGACGACGACGUUGAUAGGCCGGGUGUGUAAGCGCAGCGAUGCGUUGAGCUAACCGGUACUAAUGAACCGUGAGGCUUAACCUUACAACGCCGAAG